rnacentral:rRNA from 1 species
GACAGAGGGGGCAAGCGUUGCUCGGAAUUACUGGGCGUAAAGGGCGCGUAGGCGGCCUUCUAAGUCGAACGUGAAAUCCCCGGGCUCAACCCGGGAACUGCGUCCGAGACUGAAAGGCUCGAAUCCGGGAGAGGGAUGUGGAAUUCCAGGUGUAGCGGUGAAAUGCGUAGAUAUCUGGAGGAACAUCGGUGGCGAAGGCGGCAUCCUGGACCGGUAUUGACGCUGAGGCGCGAAAGCCAGGGGAGCAAACGGG